AACGAACGCUGGCGGCAUGCCUAACACAUGCAAGUCGAACGAGACCUCCGGGUCUUGUGGCGCAUGGGGGCGUAACGCGUGGGAAGCUGCCCUUAGGUUCGGAAUAACUCCCCGAAUGGGGUGCUAAUACCGGAUAAUGUCUUCGGACCAAAGAUUUAUUGCCUUUGGAUGGGCCCGCGUUGGAUUCGGUAGUUGGUAGGGUAAAAGCUUACCAAGGCGAGGAUGCAUAGCUGGGUAGGGAGGAUGGUCAGCCACACUGGGACUGAGACACGGCCCAGAAUCCUACGGGAGGCAGCAGUGGGGGAUAGUGGACAAUGGGCGAAGGGCUGAUGCAGCAAUGCCGGGUAAGUGAUGAAGGCCGUAGGGUUGUAAAGCUCUUUUAACCGGGAUGAUAAUGACAGUACCGGGAGAAUAAGCGCCGGCUAACUCCGUG
rnacentral:rRNA from 1 species